rnacentral:rRNA from 1 species
UGCGUAACGCGUGGGAAUCUGCCCUUGGGUUCGGAAUAACGUCGGGAAACUGACGCUAAUACCGGAUGAUGACGUAAGUCCUAAGAUUUAUCGCCCAGGGAUGAGCCCGCGUAGGAUUAGCUAGUUGGUAAGGUAAACGCUAACCAAGGCGACGAUCCUUAACUGGUCUGAGAGGAUGAUAACCCACACUGGGACUGAAACACGGCCCACACUCCUACGGCAGGCACCAGUACGGAAUAUUGGACAAUGGGGGCAACCCUGAUCCAUCAAUGCCGCGUGAGUGAUGAAGGCCUUAGGGUUGUAAAGCUCUUUUACCCGGGAUGAUAAUGACAGUACCGGGAGAAUAAGCCCCGGCUAACUCCGUGCCACCAGCCGAGGUAAUACGGAGGGGGCUAGCGUUGUUCGGAAUUACUGGGCGUAAAGCGCACGUAGGCGGCGAUUUAAUUCAGGGGUGAAAGCCCAGUGCUCAACACUGGAACUGCCCUUGAGACUGGAUUGCUUGAAUCACGGACAGGUGGGUGGAAUUCCGAGUGUAGAGGUGAAAUUCGUAUAUAUUCGAAAUAACACCAGUGG